AUUGAACGCUGGCGGCAGGCUUAACACAUGCAAGUCGAGCGGGGUGAUGGUGCUUGCACUAUCACUUAGCGGCGGACGGGUGAGUAAUGCUUAGGAAUCUGCCCAUUAGUGGGGGACAACAUCUCGAAAGGGAUGCUAAUACCGCAUACGUCCUACGGGAGAAAGCAGGGGAUCACUUGUGACCUUGCGCUAAUAGAUGAGCCUAAGUCGGAUUAGCUAGUUGGUGGGGUAAAGGCCUACCAAGGCGACGAUCUGUAGCGGGUCUGAGCGGAUGAUCCGCCACACGGGGACUGAGACACGGCCCAGACUCCUACGGGAGGCAGCAGUAGGGAAUAUUGGACAAUGGGGGGAACCCUGAUCCAGCCAUGCCGCGUGUGUGAAGAAGGCCUUAUGGUUGUAAAGCACUUUAAGCGAGGAGGAGGCUACUCUAGUUAAUACCUAGGGAUAGUGGACGUUACUCGCAGAAUAAGCACCGGCUAACUCUGUGCCAGCCGCCGCCGUAA
rnacentral:rRNA from 1 species